rnacentral:rRNA from 1 species
AGUGGCGGACGGGUGAGUAACGCGUAAGAAUCUAACUUCAGGACGGGGACAACAGUUGGAAACGACUGCUAAUACCCGAUGUGCCGCAAGGUGAAACCUAAUUGGCCUGGAGAAGAGCUUGCGUCUGAUUAGCUAGUUGGUGGGGUAAAGGCCUACCAAGGCGACGAUCAGUAGCUGGUCUGAGAGGAUGAGCAGCCACACUGGGACUGAGACACGGCCCAGACUCCUACGGGAGGCAGCAGUGGGGAAUUUUCCGCAAUGGGCGAAAGCCUGACGGAGCAACGCCGCGUGAGGGAGGAAGGUCUUUGGAUUGUAAACCUCUUUUCUCAAGGAAGAAGUUCUGACGGUACUUGAGGAAUCAGCCUCGGCUAACUCCGUGCCAGCAGCCGCGGUAAUACGGGGGAGGCAAGCGUUAUCCGGAAUUAUUGGGCGUAAAGCGUCCGCAGGUGUCAGCCAAGUCUGCCGUCAAAUCAGGUUGCUUAACGACCUAAAGGCGGUGGAAACUGGCAGACUAGAGAGCAGUAGGGGUAGCAGGAAUUCCCAGUGUAGCGGUGAAAUGCGUAGAGAUUGGGAAGAACAUCGGUGGCGAAAGCGUGCUACUGGGCUGUAUCUGACACUCAGGGACGAAAGCUAGGGGAGCGAAAGGGAUUAGAUACCCCUGUAGUCCUAGCCGUAAACGAUGGAUACUAGGCGUGGCUUG